UCCUUGGUGGUCUAGUGGUUAGGAUUCAGCACUUUUACCACUGUGGCCUAGGUUCAAUCCCUAGUCUGGAAA
rnacentral:tRNA from 1 species